rnacentral:rRNA from 1 species
UACGUAGGAUGCAAGCGUUGUCCGGAAUUAUUGGGCGUAAAGCGAACGUAGGCGGUUUCUUAAGAUUGGUCUUAAAGACCGGGGCUCAACCCCGGGAAUGGAUCGAUAACUGGGAGACUGGAGGACGUCAGAGGAAAGUGGAAUUCCGAGUGUAGCGGUGAAAUGCGUAGAUAUUCGGAGGAACACCAGUGGCGAAAGCGACUUUCUGGGACGUUCCUGACGCUGAGGUUCAAAGCUCGGGGAGCAAACAGG